UGAAGGGUAGCCUAGUGGUCAUGGCAUCUGCCCAGUAAGCUGAACACUGUGGGUUCGAUUACCAUCCCUGGGCACUUUAU
rnacentral:tRNA from 1 species